rnacentral:rRNA from 1 species
UUGCAUAUCAAAUAAGCGGAGGAAAAGAAACCAGGGGAUUUUGCCCUUAGUUAACGGCGAGUGAAGCGGCAACAGCUCAAAUUUGAAAUCUGGCUCUCGGGCCCGAGUUGUAAUUUGUAGAGGAUGCUUUUGAUGCGGUGCCUUCCGAGUUCCCUGGAACGGGACGCCAUAGAGGGUGAGAGCCCCGUCUGGUUGGAUGCCAAAUCUCUGUAAAGCUCCUUCGACGAGUCGAGUAGUUUGGGAAUGCUGCUCUAAAUGGGAGGUAUAUGUCUUCUAAAGCUAAAUACCGGCCAGAGACCGAUAGCGCACAAGUAGAGUGAUCGAAAGAUGAAAAGCACUUUGAAAAGAGAGUUAAAAAGUACGUGAAAUUGUUGAAAGGGAAGCGUUUAUGACCAGACUUGGGCUUGGUUAAUCAUCUGGGGUUCUCCCCAGUGCACUUUUCCAGUCCAGGCCAGCAUCAGUUUUCGCCGGGGGAUAAAGGCUUCGGGAAUGUGGCUCUCUCCGGGGAGUGUUAUAGCCCGUUGCGUAAUACCCUGGCGGGGACUGAGGUUCGCGCAUCUGCAAGGAUGCUGGCGUAAUGGUCAUCAACGACCCGUCUUGAAACCACGGACC